rnacentral:rRNA from 1 species
GCGCUGAAGACUGGUACUUGUACCGGUUGGAUGAGCAGCCCAUUUGUGAGUAACGCGUGGGUAACCUGCCCUAUAGAGGGGGAUAACUAGAGGAAACUUUAGCUAAUACCGCAUAAAAUCUAAUAACACAUGUUAUAAGAUUGAAAGUGCCAACUGGUACACUAUAGGAUGGACCCGCGUUGUAUUAGCUAGUUGGUGAGGUAAAGGCUCACCAAGGCGAUGAUACAUAGCCGACCUGAGGGUGAUCGGCCACACUGGGACUGAGACACGGCCCAGACUCCUACGGGAGGCAGCAGUAGGGAAUCUUCGGCAAUGGACGAAAGUCUGACCGAGCAACGCCGCGUGAGUGAAGAAGGUUUUCGGAUCGUAAAACUCUGUUGUAAGAGAAGAACACCAGUAAGAGUGGAAAGCUUACUGGCUGACGGUAUCUUACCAGAAAGCCACGGCUAACUACGUGCCAGCAGCCGCGGUAAUACGUAGGUGGCAAGCGUUGUCCGGAUUUAUUGGGCGUAAAGCGAGCGCAGGCGGUUCAUUAAGUCUGAUGUAAAAGGCAGUGGCUCAACCAUUGUAAGCAUUGGAAACUGGUGAACUUGAGUGCAGUAGAGGAGAGUGGAAUUCCAUGUGUAGCGGUGAAAUGCGUAGAUAUAUGGAGGAACACCGGAGGCGAAAGCGGCUCUCUGGACUGUAACUGAC